CGCUACGAUUGCUGUGGUAACCACCUUCCACGCGGGCAGUGAUCCUCGUCGCCAUGGCCGUCACCUUCUGUCCACUGUGGGCUGUAGAGGGGCCUCGGAGAGAACUUUCAAGAUGUAUGACCUGCGUGUAUACAGAAGCUUUAGUCAUAAUCACCUAAAAUUAGGAACUACAUACCCUUCAGCUGACAAACGGAUAAACAGUGUGGUCCAUCCAUGCAACGGAACGCCACUUGGCAACAAGAAGAAUGAACAACAUGUGACACCACGGACAAAUCUCAGGUGCAUUAGGCUAAGUGAGAGCAGCCAGGUUCCAAAGACUACAUACUGUGCGAUUUCCUUAAAUGACAUUUUGGAAACUGCUAUAGGGGACAGGAAUUGGUAGGUUUCCAGUCCCUCAGGAUCUUACAGAGAUUUUGAAGGGUCAGGGAAAGCUCUGGUCGGGGCUUUCUGUCAUUUGAGUUACAAGGGACCACCUCUUACCCCAAAUCCUAAGUUGCUUAAGCCAGUAACCGUAUAUUCUGUGCAUUUUUAUGAUGAUUCUGUAACAACGAGUAGGACUGUAAAGGUGUGGAUGGUGAGGAGCUAGCUACUGUGCCCAAAGAAUUGUCAGCAUUUGAGUCUGGCAGCAGACAGCAAGCUUGGACAGGAAAAUCAGGACUCAACAGUGCAUGGUGGAUAAUGCAGGCUGCCAGGUCUGUGCUAUCUGUAUCCUGGGGUCUCCAAAGGGACAGGAGGAAGCAGACCCCAGGGAGUCCACCAUAUGAUCUGCUGGGAUCAUAUCUGCUUUUCUGUCCAGAAAAGAUUAGAAUUCCUACUUUUUUUUAUAAGUUAUGACUGUAUAAAACAUAUAUGAGAUUUCCUCAAUAUUUUUGCUGAGCAUGUGUAGAAUUAAAAAAGGAAUAGAGAUCACUACUACAGGAAAAGGGGACCCAUCAAAGGUUUCUGACCAGGGCUGUGACAUGAGCAGAGCCGAUUUAGACGGAUACAUCUGGCAGCCAGGGCUGUCACCAGUGCGAGAGGAAUGUGGCAGCGGUGGUAUAACAGUUAUUACCUGUAUAACCAGUGUAGCAAAGCACCAACCGAGCAGAACAGAGUCCAUCCAUUCACCAGCAGAACAGCACCUUGGCAACAGGGGCCAGAGGUCAGGGUGAAGGGUGCUGAGAUGUGAGCAGGGGUGAUGGCAGUUGGGGAGAAAAGGUGCCUGAUAUAGGCACAUUUCAGAAGUGGAAUCAAGAGGACCUAGUAAUGACUGACUGAACUCUGAUGUUAGGGAGAAAUCGGUCACAGAGGUUUUGCUGCCAGAAUAGAUCAGAUGGUGAGGUCACUGAAAUGGGGAGCAGGGAGGGACAGGGAGGUUCAGGGAAGAUAAGUGUGAAGCAGUUGUACACGGAGGCAGAGGUAUCAUAAAUAAGUGACAGCAGCAGCAAUGAACGUCUUUGUAAUACCUCAGAUCUUGUGCUAGGUCGCACGAUUUGACUGUAUCUUAAAUUGGUGCUACAAAGCAGACGUUGUUAACUGGAUUUUACUAAGACUCAAGGUGUUGAGUGCCUUGCGCAAGAAACUGGCAGAGCUGAGAUUUAAAAUCACACCCCCCCUGACUCUUAAAGCCUGUUCUCUCCCAAGGAGGCAGACGCAGGUCCUCAGCACCGGCCUGACUAAAGUCCAAGCACGGGCCUUUAAGUGACCAGAGCCAGAAGCUGGCAGGACUGCAGGGAGCAAGGACAGCCAGCCUCACUGGGCCUGGCUUCUCUAGUCGCCUCCCUGUGGUUCUAGAAGAUUGGUUUAGGCAGAUCCCAGACACUUACUUUUUCUUGAACACCAAGAACUUGUUGUUUUGCAUGAUACAUUCUCGGUUGUUUGAGAUCUGCUGAAAGAUGGUCUUGCUGGUCUUGCCCUGGAAGAUGAUGUUCUCCUGCACCAGGGCCUUGGCGCGGCCCCGCACUGCAAUGCCGUAGGCCCGGAAUGAAUGGAUCCGGUUCUUUAUCACCUGGGAGAGACAGCCAGAGCUUGUCACACCCUGGGGACUCCCAGACUGGUUGGGGAGCCAGAUACCAUUGCCCCGGAGCUCCACCUUGCACUGGACCUCGACCUUGACCCCACUCUGCCGGUUGCAGGAGAUGCUGUUGCUGGCCACGCGGGUGAGCUGGCUGCUCUGGGCUACAGUGAUGCCUCUGUCUCCGUUAGCAUGGAUCACGUUGGUGAGGACGUGCAGCGCCUCGCUGCUCUGGACGUACAGUCCUGAGGCUGUGGGUGGAGGGGUUAGGGAGCAGGGUCAGUCCUGACAACGGCAGUCAGGAAAAACCCUGGUGGAAUUGUGCAUCCCGGGAGAGAGGUGGGAAAGAGGCAGCAACACUCGGAACCAGCCCUUGGGAGUCACAUCUUUCAGGAUGGAUGACAAACCGAGCAGGAAGAAACCCUGGAGCAUCAGGGAAAUUCUGUUCCUUCUGAACUAAGUCCUCAGUAAACAGGAAAAGGUGAUGAAGGCUGCUUUGGCUCAGCUGCCCAUGCGGCUCUCCUGUGCUCGCCUGCUCCUACGAUAUUGUCAUCUGUGAUGGGGCGCUCACUCCCUGCUUAAGGCUGCCUGUUCCCCCUCCAGACAGGUCCACCUGCUGGACAGCUGUUCUGCAUGUUUCUCUUCUUGUACUGAGAUGGCAUCUGCCUCCCUAUUGUUUUGGGAAAUUUUCUUUACAAGGGAAAUUCUGUAAUUUUAUUAAGUAUCUAAAAUGUUUGAAAUUUGGGAAAGAAAAUGAUGUUUGGGGUUGUAUAUGCUUAGAGACACUACAUGGUUAUAGAAAAAACCCCCCACAAAAUCAGCAGGCUUAGAGCCGCAUGGCCUGGUCAAAAAGAGACAGCAUGGCAGGGGGACCUGGAGGUGAAGAGGAGGAGGACUCCCCAGUGGUGAUAUCCACCCACAAGAGCAAGAGGCAUUGGCAGGAGGUUGUGGGGAGGACGACACCAGGGGUCACAUGGGAGUCUGAAAAUUCCAACCUCUCGUGCCACCUGCCUGUUGCUUCUGCCUGGUGGAGAAGAGCAAAUAUAAAUCAAGUAUCCGUGAAUUUAUGUGGCUUUGCCUGUCCUACUGGAUAGCAUGGCCAUGUGGAGAAAGCCUGAACUAGGAGUGGACAGAACUCAUCUUCUGCUGGCUCCCACUCUCCCUGCCCUCUGCCUUCCCCGGGACAAGAGCUCGCUAGUGUCCAAGAGACUUCUUUUAACAAGACUUCCUUCAUCAGCCCUCUACAGUGGCUCUAAUCAUCCUUCAGGUUUGGGAGCCCUGGAGUUAGAUCAACUCUGCCAUUGUAGCUGACGUGGUUGCUGGUGACGUGGGGCAGGCUGGACGACAUCAUCCACACACCACAGCCCUUAUUAGCUGGGAUGGUGAAAGGGGCUGGUCAUGGACACUGAGCAGCAGGUGAGGCAGCACCCAGUGUCUCCCCAAGAGGUGAAGCAAAGAUGGCACUGGCCUGGGAGACAAGAGUCCCUGGCGUGCUAAUGGCCUUGGACAAAUCACUUUAUGGCUGGAGGCUUCACCUUCAUACAAGAGGGUAACAACCAGAUGGGGAUGAAGCUCUCUGUUUCACCAAUCCCGUGGGUUACAAGGUGAUUGAUGAGAGGCUCUUGUACUCUGAGAGGGACUGUGUCGCUGUGGCCUGAGAUCAACCUGUUCUUCAGGACGUCUCUGAGGCCCAGGGAAGACUGUGACUUUCUCAGGACCCACAAGCUAAAGAUGGAAUUUGGGCUUCCUGCCUCCCUGGCUGGGCUAGACCCAAGACCCGUUCCCCCAGGAACAUGCGCCUCACCAUAGAUGGUGUUUCCUUCUAUCAGUCCUUUGCCUUCGUCUCCCACGACCACACCAUCUGAGUAGCCGAAGCAGAUGAGGUUGCUCCUGAGGACGGGGACUCCUCCUCGACGGAUGUCUACACCUCCCCACUGAUUCUCACGGAUGACAUUUUCUAUGGAGAGGCAGAAGAGAGGGUCAAGACCCAAGGACCACCCACACUGGCCAUGAGGACUUAGACAGCUGAGAGAAAGGACCUUCUGGACCAGGACACCAGGCCUUGCCUUGUCAACAAUCAGCAUCCCGAAUCUUGCUUGGUAUUUGGCUUUUCAGGGACUUGAGUGCUAUCUUCUUUCCUCAAGGGCAAGGUUUGUAUCUUUCUUGUGCUCUCUUAUAUUCCUAAUACCCGCUGUACCCAGUGGCCUUAAGGACCAACAACUAAGAAUAAACUGGCUUUAGAGUCUCUGGACCAAGGCCAGGCAGGGCUGUUCUGGGGCUGUUUCUAGGAGGGCUGAGGCAGAAUGCAGCCAUUCCCCCACCAGCCUGGGGAGGCACAAGCUGGUCCUUCUCAGGCUCAGCUCUGGACUGACCACAGCCUUCCUCUCCUCAUCCACCACCUCUCUGGGAGUGGGCCGAAGAGUCACAAGUCAGGGGGUUGGUGCUGGGAUACUGAUAUUCCCAAUACUAUGGCUGGGUAGACUCUCAGUCUCUUGAGACUGGAGUGCAAUGGCCCAGGAGACUCUAUGUGACUGGCCCCUUCCCGCCUCUGUGACCCUGUCUGACUUGUGACUCCCUGCUCCUCCUUCACCACACCCAGUCACACCAGUAACCUCUGCUCCCCAGGCAUGCCAACUGUAUUUCACAGGUGGCCCUGCUUAUAAUUCCGGUUCUUUUCUCAGGCUUUGUCCUGUCACCCAGGUCUGGCCUUCUCAGAAAUGCCUGCCCUGACCACACAAUCCUAAAUACCCACAUAGUCCCUCUAUCACUAUAUUUUAAUUAAUUUCAAUAAAUUAUUUCAAUUAUUGCAUAUAAACAUAACAUUUUACAUAUUAUAUAUUUACAUAUAAUAUACAUUUAUGUAAAUAUAUCAAAGUUUAUAAUUAUCUCUAGAGCACUUAUCACUCACAGAUACGCCUCUUGUGUGUGUGUGUGUGUGUACAUGUUUAUUUUCCCCUAAAAUGUCAGGAACCCAAGGGUUGCUGUUCACAGAACUGUUCUGUUCACUGAUGUAUCCCCAUCUCCUGCAUACCUUGUGUGUUCAAUAAACAUCUGAUAAAUGAA